AAAAAAAAAGUCUUCUAUUAUAGAUAAGACAAAGCUAACAUAGUUCCAUAUAAUAAAUUACUCAUAGACUUGGAAUUAUAGAGUAUGCAAAAAUCUUGGAUGGCUAUGAAAAUCCCACAGAAACUACUAAAAAUUACCACCAAGAACUCUCUUUUCCCCCUAACAAACACAAAAUAAAGACAACUCCAAUAUCUCUCUUCACCGAUGUAUAGUAAAAUAAGACCAAAACCACCUAUAAUUCCUAACUGCAAAACUUAUGGGUAUAUGAAAUUGAGAGAUUCCUCAACAAAAGCAAGAGUCUCAAGCUCAAUGUUGGGAAGAUCCAUCACCCCAUCCAUUGGAAGAUCCAUCACCUCCAUUGAAAAAUCUUCUGCAUCAUUGACACUGUCAAAAAACUUACCAAUAUCUGAGUAGUAAUCACCACUCAGCAGCUCUUGACUAAUAGAGGGAGAGAGUGAAGACUCUUCCCAUAAAUCAGAAAUUGAUUGCCUUUCUUCCACCAUUUUCCCCACAGUGAAUUCCUUCUCUGCCUUCUCCUCAAUUUUCUCUUCUUUAAUUGAACCUUCAACUCCAUGACUGAGUGAGGUUGUUGUAGACACAUCAAGAACAGAAGAUGGUGAUGGAUAAGAAAACAAACCAAUUGAUUCUUCGGAUUCAACUUUCGAAACAAUUGACAAUUUCUUAAAUUUUCUUGCUUCACUUGAUUCUUCGGAUUCAACUUUCGAAGCAAUUGACAAU
rnacentral:misc_RNA from 1 species